rnacentral:sRNA from 1 species
AAGGUUCGAUUCGAGCGCAGCGAGAAAGCGUUGCCGCAGGCAACGACCCGAAGGGUGAAGCGCGCAGCGCUGAGUCAUCCUUCCCCCACCACCA